rnacentral:rRNA from 1 species
UACGUAGGGGGCAAGCGUUGUCCGGAAUCAUUGGGCGUAAAGCGCGCGUAGGCGGCCCGAUAAGUCCGCUGUAAAAGUCCAGGGCUCAACCCUGGAAAGCCGGUGGAUACUGUCGGGCUCGAGUCCGGAAGAGGCGAGUGGAAUUCCCGGUGUAGCAGUGAAAUGCGUAGAGAUCGGGAGGAACGCCGGUGGCGAAAGCGCACAACUGGUCCUCUUCUGACGCUGAGGCGCGAAAGCCAGGGGAGCAAACGGG